GGCAGCCUGCUGCAGAGCGGGGAAGUAUGCCAUGAAUUGAGGAAGGAGGCCGGGUGUCCCCACCUCAACGGGAGGAGGAGGAGGCCAUGCGGCGGGAUUGAGGCCAUGGGAAGCAAGAAAACCAGAAAAACGCCCAAAACUAUUGAUUGGUCUUCUAGAAUCCACUACUGCAGUGAGCUGUGGAAAAGGGGACUCGAGCAAACUUUCAGAGUACAAUGUAGAUCUUGCAAUAACUCUAUUCUACUCAUUCCCCUACAACAUUGGACAGAUUUCAAAGAAAUGGAAGGUCUACUCGACAAGCUCCUUGUGCUCAAGCUGUGAAGUGGUUCAUAUUGCAACCAGGUGAUGCUUUGUAACCUGCCAAUAUCCGCUCCUAAAUUAUCACAUCAUGUUAGCUGUUUAGAAGUGCCAAUAUCCAGGCGGUUCAUUUGUUCCGAUUUCUCAUCGGCUGAAGCUUUUGUUACAAAAAUAGCCAAAGCAAUGUACUAGACCUGAAGAUUUGGAUAAUUUGUUUCUUCGGAAAUACAUUUGGUGCUUUGGAUUGUGAAUAGUGGAUUUUAAACCAUUUCUCCCAAAUUUGUACAACUUGCAAAGUAAUACCUAUUAUUUAAGAUCGAUGAGUGUCUGCAUAAAUCAUUAUAGAUUUCAGGUUAGCUUAGUGGAUCUUUUCUACCAGUGUUAAAAGAAUGCAAGGGGUUAGCUUGGU